rnacentral:rRNA from 1 species
ACCCCUCGGGAAACUGAGAAUAAUACCCAAUGGACCACAGUGCCUGGAAUGGCCUGUGGUUGAAAUGAUUUAUCGCCGUAGGAUAGGACUGCGGCCUAUCAGCUUGUUGGUGAGGUAAUGGCCCACCAAGGCUAUGACAGGUACGGGCUCUGAGAGGAGGGGCCCGGAGAUGGGUACUGAGAACACGGACCCAGGCCCUAUGGGGCGCAGCAGGCGAGAAACCUUUGCAAUGUGCGAAAGCACGACAAGGUUAAUCCGAGUGUCUCCUGCUAAAGGAGUCUUUUGUCAGUUGUAGAAUCACUGGUGAAUAAGGGGUGGGCAAGUUCUGGUGUCAGCCGCCGCGGUAAAACCAGCACCUCGAGUGGUCAGGAGGUUUAUUGGGCCUAAAGCAUCCGUAGCCGGUUGCAUAAGUUUUCGGUUAAAUCUAUGCGCUUAACGUAUAG